UACGAAGGGGGCUAGCGUUGUUCGGAUUUACUGGGCGUAAAGCGCACGUAGGCGGAUUGGUCAGUUAGGGGUGAAAUCCUGGAGCUCAACUCCAGAACUGCCUUUAAUACUGCCAGUCUCGAGUCCGGAAGAGGUAAGUGGAACUCCUAGUGUAGAGGUGGAAUUCGUAGAUAUUCGCAAGAACACCAGUGGCGAAGGCGGCAUCCUGGACCGAGAUCGACGCUGAGGCGCGAAAGCUAGGGGAGCAAACGGG
rnacentral:rRNA from 1 species